GAUGAACGCUGGCGGCGUGCCUAAUACAUGCAAGUCGAGCGAAUGAUGAGGAGCUUGCUCCUCUGAUUUAGCGGCGGACGGGUGAGUAACACGUGGGUAAUCUGCCUGUAAGACGGGGAUAACUCCGGGAAACCGGGGCUAAUACCGGAUAACAAGAGAAGAAGCAUUUCUUCUUUUUGAAAGUCGGUUUUGGCUGACACUUACAGAUGAGCCCGCGGCGCAUUAGCUAGUUGGUGAGGUAACGGCUCACCAAGGCGACGAUGCGUAGCCGAUCUGAGAGGGUGAUCGGCCACACUGGGACUGAGGGACGGCCCAGACUCCGACGGGAGGCAGCAGUAGGGAAUCUUCGGCAAGGGGCGAAAGCCUGACUGAGCAACGCCGCGUGAGCGAUGAAGGCCUUCGGGUCGUAAAGCUCUGUUGUUAGAGAAGAACAAGUACGAGAGUAACUGCUCGUACCUUGACGGUACCUAACCAGAAAGCCACGGCUAACUACGUGCCAGCCGCCGCAGUAA
rnacentral:rRNA from 1 species